UAAGCGGAGGAAAAGAAACUAACAAGGAUUCCCCUAGUAGCGGCGAGCGAAGCGGGAAGAGCUCAAAUUUGUAAUCUGGCACCUUCGGUGUCCGAGUUGUAAUCUCGAGAAGUGUUUUCCGCGCCAGACCGCAUACAAGUCUGUUGGAAUACAGCGUCAUAGUGGUGAGAACCCCGUAUAUGAUGCGGAUGCCUGGUGCUCUGUGAUACACUUUCGAAGAGUCGAGUUGUUUGGGAAUGCAGCUCAAAUUGGGUGGUAAAUUCCAUCUAAAGCUAAAUAUUGGCGAGAGACCGAUAGCGAACAAGUACCGUGAGGGAAAGAUGAAAAGCACUUUGGAAAGAGAGUUAACAGUACGUGAAAUUGUUGGAAGGGAAACGCUUGAAGUCAGACUUGCUAUUUGGAAUUCAGCCGCAAGGUGUAUUUUUCAAUUUGCAGGCCAGCAUCAGUUUUCGGGGGUGGAAAAGGAUUAGGAGAAGGUAGCAGUUUCGGCUGUGUUAUAGCUCUUAAUUGGAUUCAUCCCUGGGGACUGAGGAACGCAGCUUCGGCUUAGGAUGCUGGUGGAAUGGCUUUAAACGACCCGUCUUGAAACACG
rnacentral:rRNA from 1 species